AUACGGAGGAUCCGAGCGUUAUCCGGAUUUAUUGGGUUUAAAGGGUGCGCAGGCGGGAGAUUAAGUCGGCGGUGAAAUUUUGCAGCUCAACUGUAAAAGUGCCUUCGAAACUGGUUUCCUUGAGUGUAGAUGAAGUAGGCGGAAUUUGUGGUGGAGCGGUGAAAUGCAUAGAUAUCACGAGGAAAUCCGAUUGCGCAGGCAGCUUACUAAACUACUACUGACGCUCAGGCACGAAGGCGUGGGGAUCAAACAGGAUUAGAUACCCUGGUAGUCCACGCAGUAAACGAUGAUUACUAGCUGUUUGCGAUACAAUGUAAGCGGCUGAGCGAAAGCGUUAAGUAAUCCACCUGGGGAGUACGUUCGCAAGAAUGAAACUCAAAUGAAUUGACGGGG
rnacentral:rRNA from 1 species